rnacentral:rRNA from 1 species
GACGAACGCUGGCGGCGUGCCUAAUACAUGCAAGUCGAGCGCAGGAAGCUGACGGAACUCUUCGGAGGGAAGGCAGUGGAAUGAGCGGCGGACGGGUGAGUAACACGUAAGGAACCUGCCUCAAGGAUUGGGAUAACUCCGAGAAAUCGGAGCUAAUACCGGAUAGUUCAACGGACCGCAUGGUCCGCUGAUGAAAGGCGCUUCGGCGUCACCUUGAGAUGGCCUUGCGGUGCAUUAGCUAGUUGGUGGGGUAACGGCCCACCAAGGCGACGAUGCAUAGCCGACCUGAGAGGGUGAUCGGCCACACUGGGACUGAGACACGGCCCAGACUCCUACGGGAGGCAGCAGUAGGGAAUCUUCCACAAUGGACGAAAGUCUGAUGGAGCAACGCCGCGUGAGUGACGAAGGUUUUCGGAUCGUAAAACUCUGUUGUAAGGGAAGAACACGUACGAGAGGGAAUGCUCGUACCUUGACGGUACCUUACGAGAAAGCCACGGCUAACUACGUGCCAGCCGCCGCGGUAAAAC